rnacentral:lncRNA from 1 species
CAAGACCCAGGUCUUAUUACCCGUGAUAUAAUUCAUUUCAUCAUUAAUGACUUUUUGUCAAAAAUCUUAAUUUUGAGAGGGCAUAAAUUAUCUAAAAGUCAGUGGGUCUCUAUCAUUAGAAUCAUACUCAAUUACAAAGCACUAGAAAAAAUAAUAUCAUCCUUGUUUCCUUCUACUAGGUACAUGUAUAAUCAGGUCUAUAAGAUUUUUCUAUCAUUGUUCUCUUACUUUUUCUUGGUUCUAUUUCCUCAGCAG